rnacentral:lncRNA from 1 species
AAAGUGACUUGUUUAGUGUCGAAAUUUGAUUUAGAAUCAGGGCACAGACACUGACGUUUCCUCGACGUUAUUGACGUCACUUGGUUGCCUAGGUAGCAACAUGUGUGUUGUCUAGCAACAGCUUUAUUGCACUUAUAUUUAUUUAUUCACUGCUUAAAACUAAAUAAAGCCGUUCAAGUAGAUAUACAACUAAAACAUAUAUCUACAACUAAAAACUACACAAAAUCUACAACAGAUGUUCCAAAAAUACAACUAAAAAACUGUUAGCGAUAGAAAACUUAGAAACAUGUGGUGUAGAUAAUAUAAGCUAACACAAUGUUUAAAAGUUUUGCCUCCCGAACGUCAAAGUCUGGAAAUGGCCUAUACAACGAGGACAUGGUACGAUAGAAUCAUUGGAUUUAGUUAAACUUUGUAGGAACAAGUAGGUACAAUGACAACGUCUACGUUACAGAUGAGGUGGCCAAAAUGCAAUAAAACAGUUAAAGCUACCACCUUAACACUGUGAAUUAAACCCAAUCGAACUGAUUUUGGCAAAAAUCAAAAACGAGGUUGCAUCAAAAAAUACAACUUUUAAAUUAACUGAUAUAAGACAUUUGCUAUGUAAAGCAAUAGAAAAGGUCGCUCCUGCUGAUUGAAAAAAGUGUGAGACACAUGUAGUUUGCUAAGGAAAAUAAAAUGAAUGCACUAACUGAUCAUCUGUUGAUGAAAAAAAUAGUAGCGAAGUCUCUGCUUUCUCAUAUAUUGAAGACGAUCAAUAAAAACUUAACAUAUUUUUAUAUUUGUUACCUACAUGUAUUAUCAAUUAUCAUCAUAAUUUAAAAUUAUUAUUAAAAUUUGUUUUUGGUAAACACGACCAGUAAAUCCUAUAGUCUUAAGUA